ensembl:lncRNA
UUAAAUGCAAAAUUUGUUUUUUCUUUUAAGUUUGUUUACAGUUACAUACAAAAUUAUGUCACAUUGAAAUUAAUUUGAAUUGAAAGUUUAAUUAUGAAAAACGACUCUAAGAAAGUUGAAAAAUAAUGUUUCUGUCCCUACCCAGAUUUAGCUAAACCAUGAGGUUGAGCGCACUAUUCAUCGACCCAACACUUCUAACCCUAACUUCAAGGAGUUAGGGUUUGACUACAAAGUUAGAAGAAAGAAGCCACACAAGACUGCUCACUUCUGACACCAACUGCAGUCCAUGGUGUCUUGAAAAUCAGCAGCCCACAAUCAUGAUGAAAACCUGCAGCCUGACAGAUACUGGAGGAGCCAGAAGAAGGAAUGUAACUUUACUUGGGUGGCGUCUAUUUUGAGAAUAAUCAGCCCUGGAGAAAUAAGUGUCCUGAUUGACUGACCGCUGUCACAAGGAGAGGGUCGUAAAUUGUCAGCAGGCCCCCCUGGCCAGAAGAUGAUGUAACACCCCUAAGACCUCUGUAUACAUUUGUGUGAAGCACCUGACUUUAAUAAAAGUCAGGACUGCUGUCCCCACGUGACUUUUGUAUAACAUCUUAGUGUAUAAAAACAGACUCUGGAAAAUAAAGAAUUGGGAUCAGUUUCUCAAAAUACUGGUCUCCCCAUGUCUCUCUCUCCCUCCGGC